rnacentral:lncRNA from 1 species
GUCACAUUGUGGCGCGGUUCGUCGCCCCCGUUUUUGGCAGGUGCAGUUUGCUCUUCUUUCAGUAGCAUCGAUGACCCUUCCACGCCGCCACCGCCACCGCCAUCGCCAUCGCCUCUGCUAAUGCAUAAAUAACACGUUGUGGGUUCGCAGCCCUUUCGGUGUGUGUCCAUGUCCGUGUCGGUAUCCGUGUGGGGAAACAUUACAGCCGCAGCGGCAGCCACUCACCGAAUUUUAAAAGGCGUUUAGCUUGUUACCUUUUAAUAAUACCAUUUAAUUCCCCGUUGCUCCUGCCCAGGCGUAGGCGCAGAACCAUCAAUCAGCGUGCCGCAGAUAGCGCCGCAACAUAGCAGCGGACAAGACACUCGCAUAACGCUGCUGGCCCCAAAGUGCAAUUCAUAAUUUAUUUCUGUUUUUCUGUGCAUCAUUCGGGCUUCAUUUUUUAUGCUGCCAGCUGGACUUGCCACUGCCUCCUGACGCACUGAUGAUUGGGGAGUUUCUAGGAGCUGCCUCCACUUUGCCGAACAAUGGCUCAGAGAUCACAAUCAUGUGAAGACUUCUUUAGCAAAAUAUGUAACUUUUGGCAGAUACAAAUAUGCAGGUAUGAGAGACACUUAUUUCAAACACGAGGCAGUCCUUUUAUGAAUAUAGUUAAAGGUUGGCUCUUUUAUGGUUAAUUUUGUAGACAAUUCUUCCGGGCUUCUGCAGUGGCUGAGCUGAAUCGAUUUCGGAUGGUUAUGGCCGUAAGCAGUGCACUUACGAUGGCCAUCGCGACUGCUUUCUAUAUGCACAGGCAAGCAGUGCGCUAAAGAGAGAGCGAGGGCGAAAGAGUGGGCUUCAAA